CCUACGGGGGGCAGCAGUGAGGAAUAUUGGUCAAUGGACGAGAGUCUGAACCAGCCAAGUAGCGUGAAGGAUGACUGCCCUAUGGGUUGUAAACUUCUUUUAUAAAGGAAUAAAAUGAUGCACGUGUGCCUUUUUGUAUGUACUUUAUGAAUAAGGAUCGGCUAACUCCGUGCCAGCAGCCGCGGUAAUACGGAGGAUCCGAGCGUUAUCCGGAUUUAUUGGGUUUAAAGGGAGCGUAGAUGGAUUGUUAAGUCAGUUGUGAAAGUUUGCGGCUCAACCGUAAAAUUGCAGUUGAUACUGGCAGUCUUGAGUACAGUAGAGGUAGGCGGAAUUCGUGGUGUAGCGGUGAAAUGCUUAGAUAUCACGAAGAACCCCGAUUGCGAAGGCAGCUUACUAAACUGUGACUGACACUGAGGCUCGAAAGUGUGGGUAUCAAACAGGAUUAGAUACCCUUGUAGUC
rnacentral:rRNA from 1 species